rnacentral:other from 1 species
AAUCCUCUUCUGUGUACGAAACCUAACGUCUGCUCUUAUCCUUUUCUCAUAUAUUGGGAGCUCGAGCCCGACCUGUGGAUGUCAGGCCGUAAACCGGAAGACAGAAGCCAGUUGGAGAGCACCCACCUUAAACUGAUUAGGUUAACAGAGCACACUCUACUUCGGCACGUGCAGAGGAUUC